GGUGAGGGUAAACAUGCUAAGAGAGAUGUGAGACCAAAGAGCCGUAUGUCAAAAAUAGGAGAUACAAUUGCAACUACUUUAGUGACCCUUCAACACGAAAUCAAGAAGCCAGCGCCACCUCCACCUGCUAUGCCUAAUUCUGAUGGUAUAUUGUGGCAAAGACUUGAAAACAUGACACUAACUACCGAUCAAAAGUUGAUGGUAGGAACCUUUCUAGCACAUAAAGAUCAAAAGGGUAUGCGUGGUUUUCUAUCUGGUUCAGCUGAGGUGACAUUUCAAUCAUGGGUAUUCAAAUUUCUUAGUGAUGCGGGGCUGUGAAUUCCCCUAGGUGGUUGGCCGCUUUUGUUUAUGUGCCCAGACUCAUCCAAGAACUUAACUGAAGAUGGAUGGUGUCAAUGAAGGCUCAUUCUUUUGCACUUCUUCUAGGCUGAUAUAUGAUGGCUAUGAAGAUAGAUGGUGUUGCUCACAGCAAUUUGUUUAGCACUUAGAUGAUGCUUCACACUUUUGUUAAUGCAUACUUUGCUAUAAUGUAACUAAUGUGAACCAAUUAAGGUUGUUAUUGACAUGAUGUGGAGACAUUAUCAAUUUGAUAUGGGCAUAUGGAUAUGUUAUGUCCAUUGAUUGUGAUUAUAACUAUUGCGGUUCUGUUA